rnacentral:rRNA from 1 species
AUGGGUCUCCUCAGCAUCGUCAGAAAAAUCAAGCGCAAGGAAAAGGAGAUGCGGAUUCUCAUGGUUGGCCUGGACAACUCGGGUAAGACGACAAUUGUGCUCAAGAUAAAUGGGGAGGAUACCAGCGUCAUCAGCCCUACUCUUGGCUUUAAUAUCAAGACCAUCCAGUACCAAAAGUACUCGCUGAACAUAUGGGAUGUCGGGGGUCAGAAGACCAUCCGUUCAUAUUGGAGGAACUACUUCGAGCAGACUGACGGUCUAGUUUGGGUGGUCGAUAGUUCAGAUGUUCGAAGGCUCGAUGACUGCCGUGCUGAGCUCCACAAUCUUUUGAAGGAAGAGAGACUGGCUGGAUCAUAG